rnacentral:rRNA from 1 species
GAUGAACGCUGGCGGCGUGCCUAAUACAUGCAAGUCGAGCGAACAGACGAGGAGCUUGCUCCUCUGACGUUAGCGGCGGACGGGUGAGUAACACGUGGAUAACCUACCUAUAAGACUGGGAUAACUUCGGGAAACCGGAGCUAAUACCGGAUAAUAUAUUGAACCGCAUGGUUCAAUAGUGAAAGACGGUUUUGCUGUCACUUAUAGAUGGAUCCGCGCCGCAUUAGCUAGUUGGUAAGGUAACGGCUUACUAAGGCAACGAUGCGUAGCCGACCUGAGAGGGUGAUCGGCCACACUGGAACUGAGACACGGUCCAGACUCCUACGGGAGGCAGCAGUAGGGAAUCGUCCGCAAUGGGCGAAAGCCUGACGGAGCAACGCCGCGUGAGUGAUGAAGGUCUUCGGAUCGUAAAACUCUGUUAUUAGGGAAGAACAAAUGUGUAAGUAACUAUGCACGUCUUGACGGUACCUAAUCAGAAAGCCACGGCUAACUACGUG